rnacentral:rRNA from 1 species
UACGUAGGGGGCAAGCGUUAUCCGGAAUUACUGGGUGUAAAGGGAGCGUAGACGGUAAUGUAAGUCUGGAGUGAAAGGCGGGGGCCCAACCCCCGGACUGCUCUGGAAACUAUGUUACUAGAGUGCAGGAGAGGUAAGCGGAAUUCCUAGUGUAGCGGUGAAAUGCGUAGAUAUUAGGAGGAACACCAGUGGCGAAGGCGGCUUACUGGACUGUAACUGACGUUGAGGCUCGAAAGUGUGGGGAGCAAACAGG